AUGGCUCAGGAUGAACGCUGGCGGCGUGCCUAAUACAUGCAAGUCGAACGAGGUAGCAAUACCGAGUGGCGAACGGGUGAGUAACACGUAGGUAACCUGCCCUUAAGCUUGGGAUACCCAGAGGAAACUUUGGCUAAUACCGGAUAACAACAGAGAAGGCAUCUUCUUUGCUUGAAAGGCCCCUUCAAGGGUCACUUAAGGAUGGACCUGCGGCGCAUUAGCUAGUUGGUGAGAUAACAGCCCACCAAGGCGAGGAUGCGUAGCCGAACUGAGAGGUUGAUCGGCCACAUUGGAACUGAGACACGGUCCAAACUCCUACGGGAGGCAGCAGUAAGGAGUUUUCGGCAAUGGGGGAAACCCUGACCGAGCAACGCCGCGUGAGCGAUGACGGCCCUAUGGGUUGUUAAAAAGCUCUGUUGUAAGCCAUGAAUGAUAGCUUGAGGAAAUGCAAGCUAUUUGACGACAGCUUACCAGAAAGCCACGGCUAACUACGUGCCAGCCGCUGC
rnacentral:rRNA from 1 species